UUGCACUGAUGGCUUGAGCCCGACAUCGCUGCUUGCAGCUAUAUUUAUUAUUAUUAUUAUUAUUAUUAUUAUUAGGGCUCAAGCCUGGAGGGCGAGAGCCCUAUUGUUUUCCUUAGAAUUAUUUAUUAUUAUUAUUAUUAUUUAUUUUUUUUAUUAUUUUUUUUUCUAACGUUACGGGGGCUUUUGGGGCCCUUAACAUGCUUAAAAAAUCUUGAAAAUUGGCACACACAUUGGAACCUGCGGCCAUUAGGGCCGGGCAGAGACUGAUACACGGGCGUGACACAGGGGCUCUACAGCGCCCCCUGGAAUAUGGAGGGCCAUAUAUCAUACAUACUUGUAAGUAGACGUACGAAACUCGGUACACGUAUAGAACUCAUCAAUACAAACAACUUUCGUAUUGCAUGUCAUAGGCUCCGCCCAACAGGAAGUCAGCUAUUUAGAGUUAUGUAAAAAGCGCAUGCUCUGGAAUUUGAUAUACUUGUCAUAGGUUUUUUACUCGAUUGCCACCAAACUCGGUCAACAUGAUCUCAAGACAUUGGGGAUGAAAAAUUGCCAGGGGAUUUUUGAUAUCUCGAACGGUUUGCUCGUAGCGAGGCGUUGAAUUUAUGGCUAGAAUUGAGAAACAGGAAGUGUCUAAUACCAUCCACAUACAUUUCCUAAUUUUAAUCAAACUUCAACAGAUUAUUCAUUGUAUGAUGUCGAUCGCAUAUAUGUGACUAUUAGGAGUCAAAGUUAUAGCGCCACCAACUGGCAGCAGGAAGUGUGUCAUUUUCAAAAUGCUUUGAAUUCAGCAUCUUAUUUUUACUCUAUUUGCUUCAAACUUCAUCAGAAUAAUGUUAAAACACAGCCGAUAUAAAUCUGCUGGGGGGAUAUUGAUAUCUAAAAAUAUUGUUGCCGUGGCAACAUGUGAAACUGGAAUACUUCUCAGGUGAUUUUGAGGCAUAUAACAUGCUUAUAAUUUCAUCAAACUCAGAACACAUAUGAGUAUUAGUGACAGCUAGACACUGGCAAAAGUUCAUAAGAGGGCGUGGAAGAGGCACUCUAUAGCGCCACCUUUUGUCAAAAGUGGGUGGGUUAGUUUUAGCUACUGACACCAAACUCUGUACAUAUAUUGGUCUCAUCAAGACGGACAACUUUCUAAUUUACAGUCAUCAGCUACGACCAACUGGAAGUUGGCUAUUUUGAUUUGAAUGUGGAUUGUUUUUUACAUUUAGCUGUGAAUUAAUGCAUACUGCUCAGAGGAGAGUAACACUAUACACACCAAACUUGGUCUACUCGUUGAAAAAACAUUGAGGAACUUAAAUUGUGAAUGGGUUUUGGAUAGCUUGGAUGGUUUUGUCGUGGUGAUUUUUUUAAAUGACAGUAAAAAUUGAAUUAUUAAUUUUCCUGCAUUUUUAAAUUCCAAACACUUCAAAACCUUUUUUCAUACAGAAAAAAAAAGUUAUUUUGAGUAAAUAUGCAGUUUCAUGACUUUACAACACUGUAUGGAUAACAUAAAAUAAAAAACUGUCAGACAUCUCCUCUCACUCUGUCCAUCUGUUUGAGUGUGUGUGCUUAGACUUCCAUUGUCUGAGAGAAAAUGCGCCCCUACAGGUGCAGUUACCGGACUAAAAAAGGGAGGAGACUCUUGGUUUCACUUUUAAAUCGGUUAAAAUACAAAUAAAUACUUGGAUUUAAUUUACACUGACAAGCUAAACCAACAUAUAUGAUUAUUAUCAGGUCAGGGCUCAUUAAUAAUCGAUGUGUGGUCAGUGAUACGUGAGAAACAGAGAGAUGAAUCACCGCUCUGAGCAUGAGCGUGUGGAAUGAUGAGCUCAGAAAAAACGAGUUUAUUCUUGUUUUAUAGCUAUUAAAAAUAAAGUAUUGCAGCGAUAUCACACAAUUCACCAAUCAGAACACACCAAGAGCUAAAUUAAGAUGUUUUUGAACUGUUUGUGUGAAAAUGAAAUAUUCGCGGCUGCCUAUCUGAAAUCACCGCUCCGAUCAGCGCGUACAGUGUCACAAGUUCAAAACAAACAAAUUUAUUCUUGUUUAAGAGCUUUUUAAAAUAAAUUAUUGCCAUAAAUGCACACAAUACACCCAUUAUAACACAACACGAGCUAAAUGCAGGUGUUUGUGACCCGUUUAUGUGCGCAAGACUGUUUGAAAGCUUGACUGGCAGAAUAACAUAUAUCUCUCGAGCUGCAGGAUUCUGCCUUUCGUCGUAAGAACGAACACAUCACGGACAAGAUUAUUUCAAAAUACAUAAUAGCUUGGCUAAUAUAAACGAAAACAGCCACGUGAACAUAAACUGUUGAGAAAUAAAUCUGAAGUGGAUCUACUGGAUUUUAAUAUUAAGUGACCGCAUAUACCAGCUGCUUCUGUCUUCAAUUUUAAUCUAUAUAAAAAAUUAAACUCAUUCAUCUUGGCUCCUUUUUUUUAAUGUGUGUACGUAUUUAUUUAUUAUUUUGCUCUAACAAGACUUAAUCUAUAUUUAAUUAAAUCAAUUACAUUUUAUUUUACAUUUGAUUUGUCCAUUUCUGCAUCUUAACGCCUAAAAACCUAAAACAUGCUCUAUUAUACUAUUGUUAGCAAUUUCUUUAUCGUCCAAUUUAUCUGGUGUACACACUUUUAUUUUCAUAAUAAACUUGUUUGUUAGACUAUACACAGUUACAGUGGUCUAUAAUAAAUAUUAACAGGUUUUAUUCAAGCUGUUUAGAAUGAUUGCCAUAGGCUAGUUUUUUUAAAUGUAAAUUUAACAAAAUAAAUAAAAAAAUUAAUAAAUGAAAAAACAUUGGAAAAGAAUAACUGUUGUACUUUUUUAUACAUUUUGUAUAAUUUCAUAGUUUAUGCAUUAUAGUUAUAAAAACAAAUAAAUUUAGCCACUCACAUAGAAAUCUUGGGCCUUAUCCUUUUCUGACAGUUUUAGGGAUUUUAAAAAAUCCUAAAAAACCUUAUUUGUGGUGCAAAUAAUAAUUUCAAAUUAAUUUGAUACUGACUUCUGACAUCCUGUGACAUGAUAUUUAUUUGAAUUUACAUAAUCUCAUGGAUGUAACAGUAAAUCUGUUCAGCUCACAGAUCAAGACUAAGCUGUAAUGCAAGCAGAACUUUCACAAAUGCUUGUAGGUCAAUAAAAUCAUUACAAAACACUUACAAAUCAUUUAAGGGAUUUGAUAACACUGUAAAAUAAUGUCUAAUUUGUUAACAUUAGCAAAUGCAUUGAUAACACUUUAUAAUAACUGCACUCAUUAGUAAAUAGUCAGUUCAUGCUUUAUAAAGCCUUGUCCCAAUAUUAAUAGUCAGUAGUAAGCAGUUUAUAAAUACAGCUAUAAAUAGCUCAUUUAUUAAAAAGGAGAGUAAAGGGUCAGUUAUCUUCCUAUGAAAAAUAAAAAAAUAAAAAUAAACAAACAACAACACAGAUUGAUACAGAACUCAGAAAUGUUAUUGUGGAUUUAUGAUAAACUCAGCCUGUAAAUGAAUUCAUUCUCCUCCAAGAAGACACAAGUAGUUCACACCAAACUGUUUUAACAUGAAGCCAUAUACUGAAGAUGUUAAAUUUCGAAUGGGUUUAGGAUACCUUAAAUGGUGUGGCCAUAGCGAUUUAUUAAGUGAACAUAAAAUAAUACAAUAGUUAUUUUACUAUAUCUUUAAAAUUUUUAAUUCCAACUCUUCAUAAUUUUUUAUAUACGUAGAAGUCAUAAUUUGAAGGAAGCACAGUAAGUUUCAUAGCUUUAUCAUUUUCAAGAGCCAGCAUAAAAUUAAAACUAUCAUAACGUAUAAAUCAAGCUUGCAAUUCUUAGUACCAAUAAUGGCCACCAGAUUGAGCUAUAGGAUUACUUUUAAAUAAUUAUUGUAGAAACAAGUAUGAUUUAAAUCAUUUAUAGAAAUCUUUCAAAGAAAAAUAAUAUGUAUUUUAUGUAUUUUACAGAUAAAAUGACCCUCCCUUAAUUAGAAUAACAAGCUGAAGUAUUGUGAACCGUAUAUUAAGAAUAAUUCUUUAUAGGCUUUAUGGACAGAUACGUUUUGAGUGACUCUUGAAGGAUCAGCACCACAUCCUCUUUUACCACUGUUUAAAGAAUGCAUCUUACAGUACAGGUGUGGAUGAAUUUUGAAUAGCUUGAAUGGUUUUGUCGUGGUGAUUUUUUGAAAUAACAGUAAAAAAGUAACCAGUAAAUGUCUUUUUUUUUUUUUUAAGUGCAGCUUCUAAACACUUCAAAAAAAUGUACACAUAGAAGACAAGUCAUUCUGAGGAAAUAUACAUAGUUUCAUGACUAUACAACACUAUAUGGAUGAUAGAAAAUUAAAAAACUACAUCUGAUGUCACUCUGUCCCUCUGUCACUGUGGGUAGUGUGUGUGUGUGUGUGUGUGUGUGUGUUAAGUGAAUUAGGUGUGAAACUAUCAGGGAGCAUUUAGUCUCCAGCGCCAACAUUUUACAGAACUGCCACUUUCCUGGAGUCUCAGAAUUACAAUGUGUCAGGUUCUGAGAGAUCUAAGAUUCCAAAAAAUGAUUGAAUUAGAAUACCAUGAAGUAUUGUGAAAUACUAUAUAUUAAGACUUUAUAUAUAGGCUUUAUGAACAGAUUAGAGUGGCUCGUGAAGGACCAGCACCACCUCCUCUUGUCUGAUGGUUUGAGGAAUAUAUCUUCCAGAAUCCGGGAUUAAGAUUUAGGAGCUCAUUUUUAUUCCACCUCCUUUCCUGAAAGUCUGUCUUGCAGAAUUGACUAAAAAUUAAUCUUCACAUUAAUUCCUAAUUAUUUAUUAGCAAUUAUCACCUCGUGACCCAGUCAGCAUUUUUGUACAAUGGUCAAGUCUUAACUUAUCUAUUUCUGUAUUGCAUUUGUGUUUGAUAUUUCUCAUGGGUAUUUCAUAAUUUAUGACUUUGAGUUAAAACAGUUUGAGUUAAAACUCUUUUUUAGCGAAUUUCAUCUGUAAAAGAAAACAUGCCUAAUAAUUCUGCACACAUGAAUAUAAGGAGUUUUUCUCUUCCAGCUUUCCUGGACUAUUGUAUAGCACUCAUAAAUGAUUAAAUAAAAAAUAAUGGUAGUUAAAUAUAUAUUGUUCUGUGAAUGUGAUUUUAAAGUCUAGAUGAUUCGGAUUAACCCUUUAACUGCCAUAUCCUUUAAAACCUCACUGCCAGAGGGAUAUUGUGAAUGCAUGUGCCUGCUGGGCACAGUUUACCUGAUGCCACCGGGGUGGCGAUGGCACUGGUGGCUUGAGCCCGCCAUCGCUGCUUGCAGCUAUAUUUAGGGCUCAAGCCUGGAGGGCGAGAGCCCUAUUGUUUUCCUUAGGAUUAUUUGUUAUUAUUAUUAUUAUUUUUCUUCAAGGUUUCGGGGGCUUUUGGGGCCCUUAACAUGCUCAAAAACUCUUGAAAAUUGGCACACACCUUGGAACCUGCGGCCAUUAGGGCCGGGCAGAGUCUGAUACACGGGCGUGGCACAGGGGCUCUACAGCGCCCCCUGUAGUACUGAGGGCCAUAUAUCAUGCAUACUUGCACGUAUACAUAUGAAACUUGGUACAUAUAUAUAACUCAUCAAACCAAACAACUUUCACACUGCAUGUCAUAAGCUCCGCCCAACAGGAAGUUGGCUAUUUAGGGUUUUAUGAAAAACACAUGCUCUGGAAUUUGAUAUACUCCUCUGAGGAACUCCACCCGUUCACCACCAAACUCGGUGAACACAAUCUCAAGACAUUGGGGAUGCUAAAUUGCGAAGAGAUUUUUGAUAUCUCGAACGGUUUGCCCGUGGCGAGGCGUUGAAAUUAUGGCGAGAAAGGAGAAACAGGAAAUGUAUAAUAACAUCCACAUACAUUUCCUGAAUUUGAUCAAACUUAAUUGGUUUGUUCAUUUUAUGAUACCGAUCAUAUAUAUGUGAAUAUUAGGAGUCAAAGGUAUAGCGCCACCAACUGGCAGCAGGAAGUGAAUCAUUUUCAAAACGCUUUGAAUUCAGCAUCUUAUUUUUACUUGAUUUGCUUCAAACUUCAUCAGAAUAAUGACAAAACACGGCCGAAGAAAAUCUGUUGUGGGGAUAUUUAUAUCUAAUAUAGUGUUGCCAUGGCAACGUGUCAAACUUGAAUGUUCUGUUCUGGUGAUUUUUAGGCAGAUAACUAGCUCAGAUUUACAUGAAACUCGAAACAGAUAUCAGUAUUAAAGAUAGCUAGACCAUGGCAAAAGCUUUUAAAAGGGCGUGAAGGAGGCACUCUAUAGCGCCACCUUUUGUCAAAAGUGGGGGGAUUAGUUUUAGCUACAGACACCAAACUUGGUACAUAAAUUGUUCUUAUCAAGACGGACAACUUUCUAAUUCACAGUCAUCAGCUACGACCAACAGGAAGUCUGCUAUUUUGAUUUGAAUAUUUAAAUUGAGCUCUGAUUUAAUGCAUACUCCUCACAGGAAAUGUUCACUAUACUCACCAAACUUUGUCUACAUGUUGAAAAAACAUUGAGGAACUUAAAUUGCGAAAAAGCUUGAACGGUUUUGUCGUGGUGAUUUUUUUGAAAUGACAGUAAAAAGGGAAUCAUUAAUUGUCUUGUAUUUUUAAAUUGCAGCUUCCAAACACUUAAAAAAAAAUUCAUACAGAGAUCAAAUCAUUCUGAGGACAUAUGCAUAGUUUCAUGACUUUACAACACUGUAUGAUUAAAAGAAAAUUAAAAAACUGUCAGACAUCUCAACUCACUCUGUCCCUCUGUUUGAGGAAUGUAUGUGUGCUGACCAAGUGUGUGUGUGUGUGUGUGUGUGUGUGUCUGUGAGUGGGGGAUGGGCAUGAGCUGAGUGGCAGACACAAUGAGAGACAGAAAGAGAGAGAAAGAAAGAGAGAGAGAGACUUAAUCAUCUAUUUAAUCACCAGAAAAAAAAAAUAUUUUAAAUUGUUAUUUUUUGUUGCUGUUGCUAACAUUGCUGUUUUCAUUACAGCUUAAGAAAUCUCUUAGGCCUUAUCCUUUUCUGACAGUUUCAGGAAUUAAAAACAAAAUUCUAAAAAUACUUAUUUGUGCUGCAAAUAAUAAUUUCAAACUCAUUUGAUACUGACCUAUUCCAUCCUGUGACAUGACAUUUAUCUUAAUUUACAUAAUCUCAUGGAUGUAACAGUAAAACUGUUCAGCUCACAGAUCAAGACUAAGCUGUAAUGCAAGCAGAACUUUCACAAAUGCUUAUAAGUCAUUAAAUGAUUUUAUAACACUGUAAAAUAAUGUUUAAUUUGUUAACAUUAGUAAAUGCAUUGGUAACACUUUAUAAUAACUGCACUCAUUAGUAAAUAGUCAGUUCAUGCUUUAUAAAGUCUUGUCCCAACUUAAAUAGUCAUUAAUAAGCAGCUUAUAAAUACAACUAUAAAUAGCUUGAUCUUGGUUUAUAAGCACAUUUAUUAAAAAGGAGAGUAAAGAGUCAGUUAUCUUCCUAUGAAAAAUAAAAAAAAUAAAAAUAAACAAACAACACAGAUUGAUACAGAUCUCAGAAAUUUUAUUGUGGAUUUAUGAUCAAAUCAGCCUGUAAAUGAAUCAUACUCCUUCAAGAAGACACAAGUAGUUCACACCAAACUUUUUCAACAUGAUGCCAAUAUACUGAAGAUGUUAAAUUGCGAAUGGGUUUAAGAUACCUUAAAUGGCGUGGCCAUACCGAUUUAUUAAAGUAACAUAAAAAAAUACAAUAGUUAUUUUACUAUAUCUUUAACAUUCUUCAUUCCAACUCUUCAUCAUUUUUUAUAUACGUAGAAGUCAUCAUUUGAAGGAAUCACAGUAAGUUUCAUAGCUUUAUCAUGUCCAGGAGCCACCAUAAAAUUAAAACUAUCAUAACAUAUAAAUCAAGCUUGCAAUUCUUAGUACCAAUAAUGGCCACCAGAUGGAGCUAUAGGAUUACUUUUAAAUAAUUAUUGUAGAAACGAAUAUGAUUUAAAUCAUUUAUAGAAAUCUUUCAAAGAAAAAUAUGUAUUUUACUGAUAAAAUGACCCUCACUUAAUUAGAAUAAUAUGCUGAAGUAUUGUGAAAUACUGUGUAUUAAGAAUAAUUCUUUAUAGGCUUUAUGGACAGAUAAGUUUGGAGUGACUCUGAAGGAUCAGCACCACAUCCUCUUUUACCACUGUUUAAAGAAUGUAUCUUACAGUACAGGUGCGAAUGAAUUUUGGAUAGCUUGAAUGGUUUUGUCAUGGUGAUUUUUUGAAAUAACAGUAAAAAAGGAACCAGUAAAUGUCUUUUAUUUUUUUAAGUGCAGCUUCUAAACACUUCAACAAAAUGUACACAUAGAAGACAAGUCAUGCUGAGGAAAUAUGCAUAGUUUCAUGACUACACAACACUAUAUGGAUGAGAGAAAAAAAAAAAAACUACCAUACAUCUGAUGUCACUCUGUCCCUCUGUAACUGUGGGUAAUGUGUGUGUGUGUGUGUGUGUGUGUUUGUGUGUGUGCUGAGUUUGUGUGAAUGUGUGAGAGAGGAGAUGGGCUUGGUGUCAGAGAGAGAGAGAGAGAGAGAGAGAGGGAGGGAGACUUAAUCAUCUCUUUAAUCACCAGCAGAGAAAAAAUAAGCAAUUUUGUGUUGUUGUUGUUGUUGUUGUUUUUUCAUCAUUACAGCUUAAGAAAUAUCUUAGGCCUCAACAUCAACUGUUGCUGCAUCAUAUAGCCUUCUCCCAAAAUUAAUAGUCAUUAGUAAGCAUUUUCUAAAUACAGCUAUAAUUAAAUUGUUCAUGGUUUAUAUGCACAUUUAUUUUGAGGAGAUUAAAUGCUGUAAUCUUCCUAAAAAAAUAAAAUUAAAUAAACAAACAGAACUCAGAAACACUUAUUUCUAGAUGCAAUAAAAGAAAACUGUACACUAUAUAUAUAUAUACACAAUUGCAUAAGUUUAUAUUUAAUUUUUUUUUAUCAAGUCAAAAAUAACAGCAAAUAACAAUGUCAAUUAAAAAAACGCAAUAGUAUUAGAAUAGCACAACAUAUUGUGGAAUACUAUAUUAAGACUUUAUAUAUAGGCUUUAUGAACAGAUGAAGUACUAGCAUCACCUCCUCUUGUACGACGGCUUGAGGAAUAUAUCUUCCAGAUAGUACCGCCGCUCCCUAUAUGCAGAAUACGCAGUCUUCGUAGGGCACCAACUCCCAGAGGGGGCACCAUCCCAGUAGCUAAAAAAAAAUAAAACAUGCGCCAUUCUCCCAUCCGCGCUCGCGACCGCUCGGACAUUUGCGGAUGAAUGUUCGUAAUUGAUGGAUGGACAUCUAUGCCCGGGUAAAAGAUAUCAGCAAUCCGGCACAGAGAAAAGAAAAAUAAAGUAAAAAACAAAACAAAAACAGGCAUAAAGUUGGCUUGGC